rnacentral:lncRNA from 1 species
CCAAAUUAUAAACAUAUUGAAGCCAUGAUCCAAAUGGUCUAGUGACUAUUAAGGAAACAGUUUCACAACCCAAAUGCAAUUUGAAAAUCAGCAAAUUUGUACCUGCAUUUCUCAAGUAAUAUGAAAAUGAUACUUAGAUGACAGCAAUGCUUAAUGGCCUUUUCCAUCCAUUUCCUGUAGUAACCUAAGUGCCUCACUUCAGAUUAUUCGAGAAUUUCCCACUGAAGCUUUAGAACACGCAUGCCUUGUUUUUACAGCACUCUCCUUUUCUUUUAACCCUGUGUGAGGGACAAAAGAAGAAGAAUUUUUCUCACAACUUAACCCUCAGAGGAGAUGGUAAAGGGAAUAAAAUUGCAACCAAAGCAAGGGCCCAUUUACUAGGUUGGAGAGGGAUAAUGCCAGCUCCUUAGAUUAAAAUCUCUCAACACUUCCUCUGAAAAGCAAUACGGAGAGCAAAUGAAACCAUACAAAACUGCCUUCUUUGGCAUCCCAUGGACACAGAGAGUGCCACAAUCCUCCAACUAUGUAAGGAAAGAAAUCAACACUGAAUUCCAGCAGACAUCGCUGUGACCUCGCUCCAUAAGUCUGGGUGGAAAUAAGGUGGUGCCUUGAAGAGACCGGGUAGAAAGAGGAUAGUGGAGCUCAGACAAGAUGACACCCAGAAUAGCAAGACCCAACCAAAGUACAGAAAUUCUGAAACAGGUCUGAGACUGGGCAGACCUAAGCGCUGGCGACGGAAAAGAUCUCAAACAAGAAGGAAAACAAUUUCUGUGGCCCAAAUCAGAAUCAACUGGCAUAAUCAUAUAAGGAUUGCUUGCCUCAUUCUGACGAAUUUCUCAAGAUUUCGUCCUCUGCUAUGAAACAUUGAAGAAAGAAGGUAGAAAACGGCUUACACCCAGGCGUCACUAUAAUUAUUAUGCUCCACCAAGUGUCAUCAAGCAUUUAAAUAAAUAAUGCCAUUUCAGC